rnacentral:rRNA from 1 species
AUUGAACGCUGGCGGCAGGCCUAACACAUGCAAGUCGAGCGGAUGAAGGGAGCUUGCUCCUGGAUUCAGCGGCGGACGGGUGAGUAAUGCCUAGGAAUCUGCCUGGUAGUGGGGGAUAACGUCCGGAAACGGGCGCUAAUACCGCAUACGUCCUGAGGGAGCAAGUGGGUGAUCUUCGGACCUCACGCUAUCAUAUGAGCCUAGGUCGGAUUAGCUAGUUGGUGGGGUAAAUGCCUACCAAGGCGACGAUCCGUAACUGGUCUGAGAGGAUGAUCAGUCACACUGGAACGGAGACACGGUCCAGAGUCCUACGGGAGGCAGCAGUGGGGAAUAUUGGACAAUGGGCGAAAGCCUGAUCCAGCCAUGCCGCGUGUGUGAAGAAGGUCUUCGGAUUGUAAAGCACUUUAAGUUGGGAGGAAGGGCAGUAAGUUAAUACCUUGCUGUUGUGACGUUACCAACAGAAGAAGCACCGGCUAACUUCGUG